GAUAGCUCAGUUGGUAGAGCGGGGGACUGUAGAUUUAUAAUUGUGAUCCCUAGAUGCUGGGUCGAAUCCGGCUC
rnacentral:tRNA from 1 species